rnacentral:rRNA from 1 species
CUACGGGUGGCACCAGGCGAGAAAACUUUGCAAUGUGCGAAAGCACGACAAGGUUAAUCCGAGUGGUUUGUGCUAAACGAACCUUUUGUCAGUCCUAGAAACACUAACGAAUAAGGGGUGGGCAAGUUCUGGUGUCAGCCGCCGCGGUAAAACCAGCACCUCAAGUGGUCAGGAUGAUUAUUGGGCCUAAAGCAUCCGUAGCCGGCUCUGUAAGUUUUCGGUUAAAUCUGUACGCUUAACGUACAGGCUGCCGGGAAUACUGCAGAGCUAGGGAGUGGGAGAGGUAGACGGUACUCGAUAGGAAGGGGUAAAAUCCUUUGAUCUAUUGAUGACCACCUGUGGCGAAGGCGGUCUACCAGAACACGUCCGACGGUGAGGGAUGAAAGCUGGGGGAGCAAACCGGAUUAGAUACCCUCGUAGUC